ensembl:snoRNA
AACCUUGGAAUCUGACUCUAACAAUGGGUUUUCAUAUUCAUGUGUGAGAUGUGCCUCUUUCAAACCUUGUUACAACUUUGGCACAUUACCCAUCUGAUG